rfam:Sorghum bicolor cultivar BTx623 chromosome 7, whole genome shotgun sequence.
UGGCUACAAAAUAACUUAUUUUAUAGCCACUUUGAGUUACGAUAAUUACUAUAUUAAUUUACAAAAUUAUAGUAACUUCUUACUAAGUGGUUUACUAUAACACUACGGUAAAUAUCCCCAUGUGUUAUAGUAACUCAACUAUCGUAAAUAUGUAUACAUAUUAUCGUAAAUUAAUAUAUAAAAUUAUCGUAAAUGGAGGUGGCUACAGAAUAACAUAUUUUGUAUCUA